GAAAUAGAACCUGAAACCGUAUGCCUACAAGGUAUGGAAGCACUAUUAAAAGUGUGACCGUGUGCCUUUUGUAGAAUGAGCCGGCGAGUUAAUUUACGUAGCAAGGUUAAGGCAGCACAUGCCGGAGCCGAAGCGAAAGCGAGUCUCAAAACGGGCGCUUAAGUUGCGUGGAUUAGACCCGAAGCCAGGUGAUCUAGCCAUGACCAGGUUGAAGGCUGAGUAAAAUCAGUUGGAGGACCGAACCCACGUAUGUUGAAAAAUGCGGGGAUGAGUUGUGGCUAGGGGUGAAAGGCCAAUCAAACCUGGAUAUAGCUGGUUCUCUCCGAAAUGGCUUUACGGCCAGCGUCAGUUGUUUCAUUGCGGGGGUAGAGCUACUGAUUGGGCUAGGCGGC
rnacentral:rRNA from 1 species